rnacentral:rRNA from 1 species
AUUGAACGCUGGCGGCAUGCUUUACACAUGCAAGUCGAACGGUAACAGGCCGCAAGGUGCUGACGAGUGGCGAACGGGUGAGUAAUGCAUCGGAACGUGCCCAGUCGUGGGGGAUAACGCAGCGAAAGCUGCGCUAAUACCGCAUACGAUCUGUGGAUGAAAGCGGGGGACCGUAAGGCCUCGCGCGAUUGGAGCGGCCGAUGUCAGAUUAGGUAGUUGGUGGGGUAAAGGCUCACCAAGCCAACGAUCUGUAGCUGGUCUGAGAGGACGACCAGCGAUACUGGGACUGAGACACGGCCCAGACUCCUACGGGAGGCAGCAGUGGGGAAUUUUGGACAAUGGGCGCAAGCCUGAUCCAGCAAUGCCGCGUGCAGGAAGAAGGCCUUCGGGUUGUAAACUGCUUUUGUACGGAACGAAAAGGCUCUGGUUAAUACCUGGGGCUCAUGACGGUACCGUAAGAAUAAGCACCGGCUAACUACGUGCCAGCCGCCGCGGUAACAC